AAACGUAGUGUGGCUACAGGUACCACCAACAUGAGCCUUCAUUUUCUCCUUUCUCGAGUCUUCUUGUCUUCUCCCUGCCCCAAAAAAGAAAGUCUUGUCUUCUCCGAAGCUCCCACUCUCAGCCAUGGAAAAGGAUGAGCCAGCCUGGAUCUACCGCAUAUGUGAGGAUCACCUCGAAGCUCCCCUCGGUCUCCUCUCCUACUCGUGGUCCUCACUCACACACCUUGUGGCUGGGACUGCACAUAGUUUGCCUGCGCGCGCCGCGUCGAUCUCCCGGGCCGUCAACGGGUAUCGGGGCCCUGAUAUCAGCUGCGUGAGGGAGGAUGCGAGCUCGUCGUACUCGACGGCGCAGUUGCCGCCGGCUUCAAUUGAGGCAUUGAAGGAGUGGAUCUCGUUCCCCUUAGCUCCUGCAGAUUGUGGUUGUCGGGAUCCUGGGGUUGUUUUCCGUCCUCGAGCGCCGGGCCGAAGGCAUCGUAGCAGUCCCCAAGCGAGCACGCCGACGCAUCAUCUUAAUUUAUGACAGUCGCAACCCGGCUUCAGUGUCGCAUUCUUUCACCUGCAGUGACAGUGAUGAUCGUUUGUUUGUGCAAAACCUCCAGUAACCAUACUUGCAAAAAGUUUUGCCCAUAGAGUGGUCCCUAUCUUCUCACCACUGGAAGAAUUUCACCAUGUAAAGGUAAUGUAAAAAGUUAUAUACAUAACUUUAAAAUUGCUUACAUAAUAUAAAUAACUUACUCUAGCAAAAGAACAUAAAUCUCGCUUAUGUUUGAAGUUUGCUGUGAUUGUGAAGAUAAUUAAGCCGGGCUGGUGGUCGGCUGAGUGGACACAGGUCUUGGAAUAACAGAGGGUAAUAUCAAACUUUCAGAACCGGUCUAGUCCAAAACUUCAGUUAUAGUGAAAUUCUCUGAAGGACUUGUGUCAAAUCUUUCAGGGAGGUGCGUUAGUAGGAGAGGAGUUUCAGAGUUUAGCCAAGGUUGCUUGAUGGUGUUCUAUGGACUAUGGUUUAUCAGUUGCAGGACCUAAUUUAUUCUUCCCUUCAAUUGUAUAUGUGCAUGGUGUGAACUUUGACAGUGAGACCGACAGAAUCGCAUGCAGAAUGCUUUAGCCGCAGUCCAAAAGGUUUAGUGUUGUUAGUUCCUAGCAGUUCUGGUGUAACCACGAAGUGAGAUGCAUUUUAAUUAUGCAGUUUUUAUAUAAAAAUUUAUCUGCUUAUAUUAUGUAGUUCAUAAGCAGACAAUCAAGAUACUUGAAAUGCAUUAGCCAUUUACUAAAUGAAUAGAGUUGGGAAGAAAUCAAAGGUAAGGAUUAGGCCAUAGAUAAUAAAAAGGAGGUGACAACCACCAAUGUUUAAGAUCAAGAAAACAGUGCUUAUUGUGUCACAAGCGAACAUUGCUUGUUUUCUUCAUAUCUGUCAUGCAGACCUUGAGCCAAAGAGGUCAAUUAUAAUUUUGAUAUUUGUUAGGUACCUCGAAAUAACUAUUCCUAUGUAGAUAAUAAAAAUUACCUGAUCUGGCACUAAGAUUUGUUUGUGCAGGUGCAAAGGGAUUAGAAGAUGCUUAUGGGACAACUGUGAAUGUUGACGGGAAAUAGCUAUUUCAAAGUUUGAUUAAGAAAGUCACAGUAAUCAAAAUCUUAGGUGGAAAAUUCUAUUGGCUGAGAUGUCCAUGGACACUAAUGGCUAGGAACCAAUAUUUUAUUGUCUGAUGGUUAUUCUCCUUUCAGAUACGUUGCAUGUGACAAAAGAAUCAACUUGAUGAUGCUUAUGUAUAUUUUGGCAUCAAAUAUCAACUUCUAUGUGUGUUGUUAAUUGAUGAAUAGAACAAUUAUGGUAACAAAAAAAGAGUUGAAUAGCAAAAACAAAA